UGGGGAAUAUUGGACAAUGGGGGCAACCCUGAUCCAGCAAUGCCGCGUGUGUGAAGAAGGUCUUCGGAUUGUAAAGCACUUUCGACGGGGACGAUGAUGACGGUACCCGUAGAAGAAGCCCCGGCUAACUUCGUGCCAGCAGCCGCGGUAAUACGAAGGGGGCUAGCGUUGCUCGGAAUGACUGGGCGUAAAGGGCGUGUAGGCGGUUUACACAGUCAGAUGUGAAAUCCCCGGGCUUAACCUGGGAGCUGCAUUUGAUACGUGUAGACUAGAGUGUGAGAGAGGGUUGUGGAAUUCCCAGUGUAGAGGUGAAAUUCGUAGAUAUUGGGAAGAACACC
rnacentral:rRNA from 1 species